rnacentral:rRNA from 1 species
GACGAACGCUGGCGGCGUGCUUAACACAUGCAAGUCGUACGGUAAGGCCCUUUCGGGGGUCCACGAGCGGCGAACGGGUGAGUAACACGUGAGUAACCUGCCCACAACUUUGGGAUAACGCUAGGAAACUGGUGCUAAUACUGGUUAUGUGCUCCUGCUUCAUGGUGGGGGUUGGAAAGCUCCGGCGGUUGUGGAUGGACUCGCGGCCUAUCAGCUUGUUGGUGGGGUAGUGGCCUACCAAGGCGGCGACGGGUAGCCGGCCUGAGAGGGUGACCGGCCACACUGGGACUGAGGGACGGCCCAGACACCUACGGGACGCAGAAGUGGGGAAUAUUGCCCAAGGGGCGCAAGCCUGAUGCAGAAACGCCGCGGACGGGAUGACGGCCUUAGGGUUGAAAACCGCAUUCAGCAGGGACGAAGCUUUUUGUGACGGUACCUGCAGAAGAAGCACCGGCUAACUACGUG